rnacentral:rRNA from 1 species
UACGUAGGUGGCAAGCGUUGUUCGGAAUUAUUGGGCGUAAAGGGCGCGUAGGCGGCUUGUUAAGUCGGCUGUGAAAGCCCGGGGCUCAACCCCGGAGGGUCAGCCGAUACUGGCAGGCUAGAGUACGGAAGAGGUAGCUGGAAUUCCCGGUGUAGCGGUGAAAUGGCGUAGAUAUCGGGAGGAACACCUGAGGCGAAGGCGGGCUACUGGGCCGAUACUGACGCUGAUGCGCGAAAGCCAGGGGAGCGAACGGG